rnacentral:lncRNA from 1 species
AUUAGAUGGAACUUGAUACAUACCCUGGAAGACAGGAUAUUUCAAAUGUGUGAAAUGCCAACUUGUGAGAUCCUCAGCAUGAUAUGAUGAGGAAAGGGAAUGGAAUUGCUCACUAGCUUGUUUGGUUAUUCUAUGAAAGCUACAUACACAAGCAUUUAACAGCUCUACUACUACAGGUAUAAACUCACCUGAAGACCUGGUUAAAGGAAAUGGCCAAAGAAAAAUGGACAUGAAAAAGGUA